rnacentral:misc_RNA from 1 species
GAUGAAGAACGUAGCGAAAUGCGAUAAGUAGUGUGAAUUGCAGACUUUAGUGAAUCAUCGAAUCUUUGAACGCACAUUGCGCCCCUCGGUAUUCCGUGGGGCAUGCCUGUUCGAGCGUCAUUUAACCCCUCAAGCCUAGCUUGGUAUUGGGUGCUUGUCCCGCCUCUCGCGCGGCGACUCACCUCAAAGUCAUUGGCAGCCCGCAUCUCGCCGGCCGUGAGCGCAGCACAGACGCGCUCUUGGCAAUGACGGAUCGGCUCUCCAAAAGCUUAUUUCAACCACUGACCUCGGAUCAGGUAGGGAUACCCGCUGAACUUAAGCAUAUCAAUAAGCGGAGGA